rnacentral:rRNA from 1 species
UGGGACAAGCCCUGGAAACGGGGUCUAAUACCGGAUACCACUCCUGCCCGCAUGGGCGGGGGUUGAAAGCUCCGGCGGUGAAGGAUGAGCCCGCGGCCUAUCAGCUUGUUGGUGGGGUAAUGGCCCACCAAGGCGACGACGGGUAGCCGGCCUGAGAGGGCGACCGGCCACACUGGGACUGAGACACGGCCCAGACUCCUACGGGAGGCAGCAGUGGGGAAUAUUGCACAAUGGGCGAAAGCCUGAUGCAGCGACGCCGCGUGAGGGAUGACGGCCUUCGGGUUGUAAACCUCUUUCAGCAGGGAAGAAGCGAAAGUGACGGUACCUGCAGAAGAAGCGCCGGCUAACUACGUGCCAGCAGCCGCGGUAAUACGUAGGGCGCAAGCGUUGUCCGGAAUUAUUGGGCGUAAAGAGCUCGUAGGCGGCUUGUCACGUCGGAUGUGAAAGCCCGAGGCUUAACCUCGGGUCUGCAUUCGAUACGGGCUAGCUAGAGUGUGGUAGGGGAGAUCGGAAUUCCUGGUGUAGCGGUGAAAUGCGCAGAUAUCAGGAGGAACACCGGUGGCGAAGGCGGAUCUCUGGGCCAUUACUGACGCUGAGGAGCGAAAGCGUGGGGAGCGAACAGGAUUAGAUACCCUGGUAGUCCACGCCGUAAACGUUGGGAACUAGGUGUUGGCGACAUUCCACGUCGUCGGUGCCGCAGCUAACGCAUUAAGUUCCCCGCCU